rnacentral:rRNA from 1 species
AUUUGUGGCGAGUGUUUGGGGUUUAAACCCUCAGGCGUAAUGAAAGUGAACGGAAGGUGAGAAGCCAUUGGUGCAUCAUCGACCCGAUCCCUGAUGUCUUCGGAUGGAUUUGAGUAAAGAGGCAUAACUGUUCGGACCCGAAAAGAUGGUGAACUAUGCGUGGAUAGGGUGAAGCCAGAGGAACCUCUGGUGGAGGCUCGCAGCGGUUCUGACGUGCAAAUCGAUCGUCAAAUCUGCGCAUGGGGGCGAAAGACUAAUCGAACCAUCUAGUAGCUGGUUACCGCCGAAGUUUCCCUCAGGAUAGCAGUGUUGUCUUCAGUUUUAUGAGGUAAAGCGAAUGAUUAGGGACUCGGGGGCGCCAUAUAGCCUUCAUCCAUUCUCAAACUUUAAAUAUGUAAGAAGCCCUUGUUACUUAAUUGAACGUGGGCAUUCGAAUGUACCAACACUAGUGGGCCAUUUUUGGUAAGCAGAACUGGCGAUGCGGGAUGAACCGAACGCGGGGUUAAGGUGCCAGAGUGGACGCUCAUCAGACACCACAAAAGGCGUUAGUACAUCUUGACAGCAGGACGGUGGCCAUGGAAGUCGGAAUCCGCUAAGGACUGUGUAACAACUCACCUGCCGAAUGUACUAGCCCUGAAAAUGGAUGGCGCUCAAGCGUCUCACCCAUACCUCGCCCUCAGGGUAGAAACGAUGCCCUGAGGAGUAGGCGG